GAGAAGACGAACAUUCCCCAGAACCCACUCAGGAACUGCUGUGGUUAUUACUUCACACCUUCAAGCCCUUUCAACUCCACCCACACAUCCACUUUACAGCCCUUGCAAAGAAAAAAACACUCGCGAUGAAAAUUCCACACGUUACUAGGAUUACUUCAUAAACAGAACAUUCUUGACUUUGGAAUUCCCCCCAGACUCUGAAUUGAGCUUACCCAUACAGAAAAACCUGAAUUCAUUUUGAAAUGGGAGGAAAG